AUGCUGUUUAUUUUCCUUUCUCAGCAGCCAUACUGUCUCAAAAGCAACAUAGGCCCAGAAAUUCACUUUAUUAAUUUUACGAGUUGAAAAGGGCAUCUGAUAUAUAUGGCCCUGUGACUUCCCCCCAAAAAACUGAAAUACUGGUACAUGGGGGAAACGUGUUGGUAAGACAAUGCUAAUUAAAAAUAAUGAGGCUGUAUUACACUAACACACAUUGGGAUUAUGAAUUGUC